AACGUAAGCAAAAAAAGGCAUAAAUGACUGGGUGAAAAGAAUAAAUCAUGAAGGGCUUAAACAGAAAAUAAUGGGCGUUAUUUUUUUUUUAUUAUUAUUUGAAUUUUCCUUCUUUUUUUUAAAUUCUCAUACGAUUUGAAUAUAUAUAUAUGUAUAUAUAUGUAUAUAUACGCACAUACAUAUAUCCAUAUACAUAUUUUGAAAAUAAAAAAAGUUUAAUAAAUGGUAAUUUUUUAUGCCUUUUAUUUUUGAUGCGAACUUACCUUGUAUUGAUUUUUUUGUACAUUUUAUAACAAAGACCAUACGCAGAAAAACAGAAAAACAGAAAGUCAAAAAGGCGAGGAAAGCGUUUGAUUUUACGACUUACAUCCGUAUAUAUAUAUAUAUAUAUAUGCAUAUGUAUACCUAUUUAUAUGUGUAUAUGUAUACAUAUUAGACUCUGAAGUAUUACUGUUCACAGAAAUGAACACUCUGACAAAAAUUAACAGAGGGUGCAAACGCUUUAGCACUUUGUCUUCCAUUAAAAAAAAAUGGAAAGAUCUUAGUUCAUACAUAACUAAGGAUAGUGAUUUAUGUCAUUGGAGAGAGUUGAAUGCAAAAUUGUUUGAGGCUGAAAGUUUAGUUAAUAAAAAAGAAGAUGAAAAACUGAAAAAAAUUGACUGGAAUAAAUGGAAUGAACUGAUUAGCAAUAAGGAACUUUUAAAUUGGUAUAAAAAAAAAAAAAAAAAAAAAAAAAAAAAAAAAAUGACACAACUGCGCAUAUAUUAAAUGUGGACACAUGAGGAUAUAUGAACAAACGAGUAAUGUAGCCAAAUAGGUGAAAAUGCUUUAAAAAAAAAUUAAAAAAAUUAGAAAAAUCAACAUGAACAGUUAUGUCAAAAAAAAAAAAAAAAAAAAAAAAAAAAUUUUAUAUGUUCACAAUUAUGCAAACGUAUGUGUGUGUUAUCUUUUUUUCUUCAUGACUCUUUGUUUUAUACUAUUAUUUUUUGGGCUAGCUACCUGAACAUUCAGGCAACAUUUUCAUUUUUAUUAUUUUGUUUGUUUCUUUUUUUGUUUGUU
rnacentral:lncRNA from 1 species